AUGGCCAAGCUCAUCACCGCCGCUCAGCCUUUGUUUCCUUAUGGAUACAUGAUGUUGAAAAGAAGAUUGAUGUGUUUUUAUUUGGCUGUUUUUGUGCAAGGUUUGGAGCAGUUUGCAACAAGUUUUUGGACUAAUUUGGGACAGGUUUUUGGAAUAUUUUACAAGGUCAUUUUUUGGUUUAUGCAGGGUUGUUUUUGUAGUUUUGUGGGAAGUAGUAGCAUCAUGCUUUCUUUGAAAUGUUUGAACUAUUUUGGUGCAAAGUUUAGACGGUUUUGGGCAGCAGCACAUUUGACUUGGGCUUAUUUGAAGACUUGA